GGAUGUGAGGGCGAUCUGGAUGCGACAACUGUCACCCCAUUGAUUGCCAGGGUUGAUCUGGCUGGCUAGGCAGGUAUUCCCUUCCUUCCUCACCACUCCAUGUGCAUCCCUCCUGAAGCUACAAGCUCAGUGGAAGGAUGACUUUCCCUGAUAGAUGAAGACCCUUCUUCAUUCAAGGGUAUAGGAGUAGCCGCGCUCCCUUGCUGGAACCUCCAAACAAGCUCUUAUGGUCCAGAUUUGUUUUCAUUAAUAAAUUUCACCCUACUACUGUAUUAGUAAAAAUAAUCAUUCUAUG
rnacentral:snRNA from 1 species